GGCAAUAUGACGUGAAUAGGAAACUGCAUGUCAGACAUUAACUUAAUGUUCUAUAUUAUUUAUAAACAAAUGAAUCUAAUAUUUUAAGACAAUAAAUAAAUAUUUAUUUUUAUAAUUAGCCCAGUUUUUCGUCGACGAAGCCAUCUUAAGAGAAGCUUCAUUGCAAAUAUCAGGCCGAUAUUUAACUAUAGCGGACAACAAACAAGAGUAGACACAUCGUGAGCUGUAGUUGUAGAAAGAGGAGAAAAUGGAAACUAAGGCGAACCACUGGCUCAUGCAGCUUUCAUUUCAGCAGAGGCUGCUCGUACGCAAGCAGAGGCCGCGCAUCUUCCAGCUGAGAUAUAUAAAAAAAUUCAAGGAAUUGACCAAUAUCGGCAAAAACCUUGUUUAAAAUAAUAAGUUCAAUUUUGUUUUAAUUUUAGCUAAGUCCGUAAUAGUUUAUAUUACCAUAAAAACGAAAUAGCGCUUGUUACAAUAGCCAAGCAAAUCCAAAUAUAUAAGUUUUACUUUAGGCUGGUACUACAGUAAAUUUUAUAACACUAAUGAGUAUAUUUUACGCUAAUAAAACUACUCUCAACUAAGCAUUUCAAAA